rnacentral:rRNA from 1 species
CCUACGGGAGGCAGCAGUGGGGAAUAUUGGGCAAUGGGCGCAAGCCUGACCCAGCAACGCCGCGUGAAGGAAGAAGGCUUUCGGGUUGUAAACUUCUUUUCUCAGGGACGAAGCAAGUGACGGUACCUGAGGAAUAAGCCACGGCUAACUACGCGCAAGCAGCCGCGGUAAUACGUAGGUGGUAAGCGUUAUCCGGAUUUACCGGGUGUAAAGGGGGUGUAGGCGGGACUGCAAGUCAGAUGUGAAAACCACGGGCUCAACCUGGGGCCUGCAGUUGAAACUGUGGGUCUAGAGUACUGGAGAGGCAGACGGAAUUCCUGGUGUAGCAGUGAAAUGCGUAGAUAUUAAGAGGAACACCAGUGGCGAAGGCGGUCUGCUGGACAGCAACUGACGCUGAGGCGCGAAAGCGAGGGGAGCAAACGGGAUUAGAUACCCCAGUAGUC